GGUUAAGCGACUAAGCGUACACGGUGGAUGCCCUGGCAGUCAGAGGCGAUGAAGGACGUGCUAAUCUGCGAUAAGCGUCGGUAAGGUGAUAUGAACCGUUAUAACCGGCGAUUUCCGAAUGGGGAAACCCAGUGUGAUUCGUCACACUAUCAUUAACUGAAUCCAUAGGUUAAUGAGGCGAACCGGGGGAACUGAAACAUCUAAGUACCCCGAGGAAAAGAAAUCAACCGAGAUUCCCCCAGUAGCGGCGAGCGAACGGGGAGCAGCCCAGAGCCUGAAUCAGUGUGUGUGUUAGUGGAAGCGUCUGGAAAGGCGUGCGAUACAGGGUGACAGCCCCGUACACAAAAAUGCACAUACUGUGAGCUCGAUGAGUAGGGCGGGACACGUGGUAUCCUGUCUGAAUAUGGGGGGACCAUCCUCCAAGGCUAAAUACUCCUGACUGACCGAUAGUGAACCAGUACCGUGAGGGAAAGGCGAAAAGAACCCCGGCGAGGGGAGUGAAAAAGAACCUGAAACCGUGUACGUACAAGCAGUGGGAGCACGCUUAGGCGUGUGACUGCGUACCUUUUGUAUAAUGGGUCAGCGACUUAUAUUCUGUAGCAAGGUUAACCGAAUAGGGGAGCCGAAGGGAAACCGAGUCUUAACUGGGCGUUAAGUUGCAGGGUAUAGACCCGAAACCCGGUGAUCUAGCCAUGGGCAGGUUGAAGGUUGGGUAACACUAACUGGAGGACCGAACCGACUAAUGUUGAAAAAUUAGCGGAUGACUUGUGGCUGGGGGUGAAAGGCCAAUCAAACCGGGAGAUAGCUGGUUCUCCCCGAAAGCUAUUUAGGUAGCGCCUCGUGAAUUCAUCUCCGGGGUAGAGCACUGUUUCGGCAAGGGGUCAUCCCGACUUACCAACCCGAUGCAAACUGCGAAUACCGGAGAAUGUUAUCACGGGAGACACACGGCGGGUGCUAACGUCCGUCGUGAAGAGGGAAACAACCCAGACCGCCAGCUAAGGUCCCAAAGUCAUGGUUAAGUGGGAAACGAUGUGGGAAGGCCCAGACAGCCAGGAUGUUGGCUUAGAAGCAGCCAUCAUUUAAAGAAAGCGUAAUAGCUCACUGGUCGAGUCGGCCUGCGCGGAAGAUGUAACGGGGCUAAACCAUGCACCGAAGCUGCGGCAGCGACGCUUAUGCGUUGUUGGGUAGGGGAGCGUUCUGUAAGCCUGUGAAGGUGUGCUGUGAGGUAUGCUGGAGGUAUCAGAAGUGCGAAUGCUGACAUAAGUAACGAUAAAGCGGGUGAAAAGCCCGCUCGCCGGAAGACCAAGGGUUCCUGUCCAACGUUAAUCGGGGCAGGGUGAGUCGACCCCUAAGGCGAGGCCGAAAGGCGUAGUCGAUGGGAAACAGGUUAAUAUUCCUGUACUUGGUGUUACUGCGAAGGGGGGACGGAGAAGGCUAUGUUGGCCGGGCGACGGUUGUCCCGGUUUAAGCGUGUAGGCUGGUUUUCCAGGCAAAUCCGGAAAAUCAAGGCCGAGGCGUGAUGACGAGGCACUACGGUGCUGAAGCAACAAAUGCCCUGCUUCCAGGAAAAGCCUCUAAGCAUCAGGUAACAUCAAAUCGUACCCCAAACCGACACAGGUGGUCAGGUAGAGAAUACCAAGGCGCUUGAGAGAACUCGGGUGAAGGAACUAGGCAAAAUGGUGCCGUAACUUCGGGAGAAGGCACGCUGAUACGUAGGUGAAGCGACUUGCUCGUGGAGCUGAAAUCAGUCGAAGAUACCAGCUGGCUGCAACUGUUUAUUAAAAACACAGCACUGUGCAAACACGAAAGUGGACGUAUACGGUGUGACGCCUGCCCGGUGCCGGAAGGUUAAUUGAUGGGGUUAGCGCAAGCGAAGCUCUUGAUCGAAGCCCCGGUAAACGGCGGCCGUAACUAUAACGGUCCUAAGGUAGCGAAAUUCCUUGUCGGGUAAGUUCCGACCUGCACGAAUGGCGUAAUGAUGGCCAGGCUGUCUCCACCCGAGACUCAGUGAAAUUGAACUCGCUGUGAAGAUGCAGUGUACCCGCGGCAAGACGGAAAGACCCCGUGAACCUUUACUAUAGCUUGACACUGAACAUUGAGCCUUGAUGUGUAGGAUAGGUGGGAGGCUUUGAAGUGUGGACGCCAGUCUGCAUGGAGCCGACCUUGAAAUACCACCCUUUAAUGUUUGAUGUUCUAACGUGGACCCGUGAUCCGGGUUGCGGACAGUGUCUGGUGGGUAGUUUGACUGGGGCGGUCUCCUCCUAAAGAGUAACGGAGGAGCACGAAGGUUGGCUAAUCCUGGUCGGACAUCAGGAGGUUAGUGCAAUGGCAUAAGCCAGCUUGACUGCGAGCGUGACGGCGCGAGCAGGUGCGAAAGCAGGUCAUAGUGAUCCGGUGGUUCUGAAUGGAAGGGCCAUCGCUCAACGGAUAAAAGGUACUCCGGGGAUAACAGGCUGAUACCGCCCAAGAGUUCAUAUCGACGGCGGUGUUUGGCACCUCGAUGUCGGCUCAUCACAUCCUGGGGCUGAAGUAGGUCCCAAGGGUAUGGCUGUUCGCCAUUUAAAGUGGUACGCGAGCUGGGUUUAGAACGUCGUGAGACAGUUCGGUCCCUAUCUGCCGUGGGCGCUGGAGAACUGAGGGGGGCUGCUCCUAGUACGAGAGGACCGGAGUGGACGCAUCACUGGUGUUCGGGUUGUCAUGCCAAUGGCACUGCCCGGUAGCUAAAUGCGGAAGAGAUAAGUGCUGAAAGCAUCUAAGCACGAAACUUGCCCCGAGAUGAGUUCUCCCUGACCCUUUAAGGGUCCUGAAGGAACGUUGAAGACGACGACGUUGAUAGGCCGGGUGUGUAAGCGCAGCGAUGCGUUGAGCUAACCGGUACUAAUGAACCGUGAGGCUUAACCUU
rnacentral:rRNA from 1 species